rnacentral:rRNA from 1 species
UGGGCGUAAGGGUGUGUAGGCGGUUGUUUAAGUUUGGUGUGAAAUCUCCCGGCUCAACUGGGAGGGUGCGCCGAAUACUGAAUGACUAGAGUGCGGGAGAGGAAAGUGGAAUUCCUGGUGUAGCGGUGAAAUGCGUAGAUAUCAGGAGGAACACCGGUGGUGUAGACGGCUUUCUGGACCGUAACUGACGCUGAGACACGAAAGCGUGGGUAGCAAACAGGAUUAGAUACCCUGGUAGUCCACGCCCUAAACGAUGCAUAUUUGGUGUGGGCAGUUCAUUCUGUCCGUGCCGGAGCUAACGCGUUAAAUAUGCCGCCUGGGGAGUACAGUCGCAAGGCUGAAACUCAAAGGAAUUGACGGGGGCCCGCACAAGCGGUGGAGCAUGUGGUUCAAUUCGACGCAACGCGAAGAACCUUACCUAGGCUCGAACGGCUUCUCAACGUCGGUGGAAACAUCGAUACCCCGCAAGGGGGUGGAGUCGAGGUGCUGCAUGGCUGUCGUCAGCUCGUGUCGUGAGAUGUUGGGUUAAGUCCCGCAACGAGCGCAACCCUUGUCCUGUGUUGCCAUACCGAGAGGUGGAACUCGCAGGAGACCGCCAGGGAUAACCUGGAGGGAGGUGGGGAUGACGUCAAGUCCUCAUGGCCUUUAUGUCUAGGGCUACACACGUGCUACAAU